GUCCACACUGUAAACGAUGGAUACUAGGUGUGGGAGGUUUCGACGCCUUCCGUGCCGGAGUUAACACAAUAAGUAUCCCACCUGGGGAGUACGGCCGCAAGGUUGAAACUCAAAGGAAUUGACGGGGGCCCGCACAAGCAGUGGAGUAUGUGGUUUAAUUCGACGCAACGCGAAGAACCUUACCAGGACUUGACAUCCCUGGAAUCCUGUAGAGAUACGGGAGUGCCUUCGGGAAUCAGGUGACAGGUGGUGCAUGGUUGUCGU
rnacentral:rRNA from 1 species